AGAGUUUGAUCAUGGCUCAGGAUAAACGCUGGCGGCGUGCAUAACACAUGCAAGUCGAACGAUGAAGAUUAAAAGAUUUCUUCGGAAUGAACUUAAUUGGAUUAGUGGCGGACGGGUGAGUAACGCGUGAGUAACCUGCCUUGUACAAGGGGAUAGCCGUUGGAAACGACGAAUAAUACCCUAUGACAUCAAAUAAUCGCAUGAUAAUUUGAUCAAAGAUUUAUCGGUAUAAGAUGGACUCGCGUCUGAUUAGCUAGUUGGUAGAGUAAAAGCCUACCAAGGCAACGAUCAGUAGCCGGCUUGAGAGAGUGUACGGCCACAUUGGGACUGAGACACGGCCCAGACCCCUACGGGAGGCAGCAGUGGGGAAUUUUGCACAAUGGGGGAAACCCUGAUGCAGCGACGCCGCGUGAUUUAGAAGGCCUUCGGGUUGUAAAAAUCUUUUGUAUGGGAAGAAAAUGACAGUACCAUACGAAUAAGGGACCGGCUAAUUACGUGCCAGCAGCCGCGGUAAUACGUAAGG
rnacentral:rRNA from 1 species